AGAAAUUGGUCCAGGAUAUCUUCAAGUGAAGAAAGUUUAUGCCUCAGAGUUCUUAGUUGAAAAAUGAAGAGUUUAUUAAACGUAUGGGAAAAAUUGUAAGAAUAGUUAAAUGUCUUUAAGAUCACGCCAUAAGAGAGUCAUCACCAAUAUGAAGUGUGCUUGGUUUGUAUGAGCAUUUUUCAAUUGGUUCUUGUAACAUGAUUAGUUGGGAGUUAACCAGAUUAAUUUGAC
rnacentral:lncRNA from 1 species